rnacentral:rRNA from 1 species
UGGCGGCACUAGCGCGGUGGUCCCACCUGACCCCAUGCCGAACUCAGAAGUGAAACGCCGUAGCGCCGAUGGUAGUGUGGGGUUUCCCCAUGCGAGAGUAGGGAACUGCCA